AGAGAGAGAGAGAGAGAGGUGAAAAUGCUAGAGGGAAAGAAUUCCAUUUAGCAGAAUUUGUAAGACUUGAUGCUCCCAAUCUUUUUGGUAUAGUUUUUCAUUUUGAUUCAAUUCAAUGACACUGUUAAAACUUGAAACCCUUGAUUUAUGAUCUAGAAACAACAGUGUAUAUAAGCAGCAACCAUCCAAGUGAUUGAGCUUAAUUCUGGCUCAACUCAUCUUGGGAGUUGCAGCUUUCAAACAGCAUUUCCAGCUUACAAUUACCACCACAUGUAAGAUAAAUUAAAUUACAUCUCAUUUUAUUGACUCCCAACUUAUCAACUGUAUCUAUGAUCUACUGGAAAGUCUAGCAAGCAGGCACAAGGAAAGAAAUCAUUGGCACGCCUGUAGCAACUCCGAUAAUUAUUACAUCUAUACUUAAAAUAGUGAUCAUUGUAAAUUGCAAUUAUCACCAUAAAUUUUCACAACAAAUAUGGCUCUCAUGAUAAUAAGAACUGAAGUCCUUAAUUAUGAAUCAGAAUCAUUAAUAAAUAAUUGAAUCUGUACCUGAAAGCGUGAGAAUACAAGU
rnacentral:misc_RNA from 1 species